rnacentral:lncRNA from 1 species
UGUUCUCAAUUGUGAAUAGGGUUGUGAUGCUUACAAGUUGAUAGACUUGGACUUGUUGGGAGAAAAAUAUCAAUAUUACGAUCGUGUUCUAACCAAAAACACAGGAUUGUAGACAAGAAAUGGGACCUUGGAGUGUUGACUGAGGAUGACAGAGUUAACAGAAGUCGACGUUAAGAGAAACCAUGUCUUGUAGCUCCAGCUUCCUCGGGGAUCGAAUCUUUCGCAAAGCC